rnacentral:lncRNA from 1 species
UGAAUUUUACAAGUAAUAUAAAUCUUCUGCUCUUUCCCAUUCUCCUCUCUGUUAAUUGGGUUAGAAACUCAAUGGAUAGGCAUUGUGUGCAAGGUUGUAGAGAGAUAAAUAAAAAAUAUAUUAGAUAUUGUGAUUGCUUUGUAAUUGAUAAGUGGAAAAAACACAAAAGGUGAGGACACCUUGUUGAUUGAAACGGAAAAGGGCAUUCGUAUCAUUUAACUGGUUGCUUGGCUUUGAUUAGUUUCCAGCGGGAUGUUCUGGGGUCAGGCAGCUUGUUCAGACUUUGAGGAAGGAACUGAUGGCGGCCAAGCUCAUAGACUUCAAGAGGAAUGGAAGCCACCAGAGCAGCUUCACGACAGACAGGUUACCCAGCAACGCUGGAGAGUCAGGGAUGGAAGCAGAUGAAGGACGUGCUGUCAUUCCAGGGGCCACACAGGCUGUGAAGAGAGAUCCUCCGUGUCUCGGACCACUGAAGCACUCUGUGCACAGGGUUCAUGUGGGCCAGCACAGCUCUCUCUCCAGAAGGGGCUGCACCGUCAUGUCCCACCACUUGCCGUCCUGCGUCUGGAGACACUUCUGA